rnacentral:rRNA from 1 species
UACAGAGGGUGCAAGCGUUAAUCGGAAUUACUGGGCGUAAAGCGUGCGUAGACGGUUACAUAAGUCGGGUGUGAAAGCCCCGGGCUCAACCUGGGAAUUGCAUUCGAGACUGCGUAGCUAGGGUGCGGAAGAGGGAAGCGGAAUUUCCGGUGUAGCGGUGAAAUGCGUAGAUAUCGGAAGGAACACCAGUGGCGAAAGCGGCUUCCUGGCCCAGCACCGACGUCAGGCACGAAAGCGUGGGGAGCAAACAGG